rnacentral:rRNA from 1 species
GCGUGCUUAACACAUGCAAGUCGAACGCUGAAGCACCAGCUUGCUGGUGUGGAUGAGUGGCGAACGGGUGAGUAAUACGUGAGUAACCUGCCCUUGACUCUGGGAUAAGCCCGGGAAACUGGGUCUAAUACUGGAUGCUACAUGUCACCGCAUGGUGGUGUGUGGAAAGGGUUUACUGGUCUUGGAUGGGCUCACGGCCUAUCAGCUUGUUGGUGAGGUAAUGGCUCACCAAGGCGACGACGGGUAGCCGGCCUGAGAGGGUGACCGGCCACACUGGGACUGAGACACGGCCCAGACUCUACGGGAGGCAGCAGUGGGGAAUAUUGCACAAUGGGCGAAAGCCUGAUGCAGCGACGCCGCGUGAGGGAUGACGGCUUCGGGUUGUAAACCUCUUUCAGCAGGGAAGAAGCCACAAGUGACGGUACCUGCAGAAGAAGCGCCGGCUAACUACGUGCCAGCAGCCGCGGUAAUACGUAGGGCGCAAGCGUUGUCCGGAAUUAUUGGGCGUAAAGAGCUCGUAGGCGGUUUGUCGCGUCUGCUGUGAAAGCCCGGGGCUUAACCCCGGGUGUGCAGUGGGUACGGGCAGACUAGAGUGCAGUAGGGGAGACUGGAAUUCCUGGUGUAGCGGUGGAAUGCGCAGAUAUCAGGAGGAACACCGAUGGCGAAGGCAGGUCUCUGGGCUGUUACUGACGCUGAGGAGCGAAAGCAUGGGGAGCGAACAGGAUUAGAUACCCUGGUAGUCCAUGCCGUAAACGUUGGGCACUAGGUGUGGGGGACAUUCCACGUUUUCCGCGCCGUACUAACGCAUUAAGUGCCCCGCCUGNGAGUACCG